GCCAGACUCCUACGGGAGGCAGCAGUGAGGAAUAUUGGUCAAUGGGCGGAAGCCUGAACCAGCCAAGUCGCGUGAGGGAAGAAGGCCCUGCGGGCCGCAGACCUCUUUGGACGGGGAGCAAGGCCGCCGACGUGUCAGCGGAAGGAGAGUACCCGUAGAACAAGCAUCGGCUAACUCCGUGCCAGCAGCCGCGGUAAUACGGAGGAUCCGAGCGUUAUCCGGAUUUAUUGGGUUUAAAGGGUGCGUAGGCGGCCUUUUAAGUCGGCGGUGAAAGUCUGUGGCUCAACCAUAGAAUUGCCGUUGAAGCGGGGGGGUUUGAGUAUGUUGGAGGAAGGCGGAAGGCGUGGUGUAGCGGUGAA
rnacentral:rRNA from 1 species